AUUUUUGUGCUUGGGGAAAUUACGUAGCUAGUGAUGAUAUAACUAAGGUGCAUUAAUUGUUGGUUGAAAACUAUUUCCAAACCCCCUCUUUGGCCUUUCUCCAUAGGAGGCCAUCAAUAAUUUUUGGAGGGUUGGAUCUAGC